GAAUCGUCGCGAAGAAAGUCUUCUGAUGGCGGCCAAGAUGCCUCCGAUUUAUCUAAGUCGAAGCAACCGAAAAGGAGGAGCUGAGCCCAGAGCAGCGGAGACAAUUAGAACUUGUAGAAUCUGACUUAGACACUGACCUCUAUAAUCUUUGGAUGCCUGUAUGUAUCGGCUUCUCCGGCCUCCUGGUUCAUUCGGUUCUGUUACUUUUUUCAGAAAAGUCAUGAUAAAAAAAAGAACAUUCUGAACAUUCUGAAUCCAAGUUCAGUUUACUUUUUUCAGAAAAGUCAUGACAAAUCCAACAUAGAUAUAAGUUAAUUUGUGAUGGAGGGAGUACCAUAUCAGAGAACAUUCUGAAUCCAAGUUCAGUUUACAGUCCGGAGAAAGGUCAAUUCGCAGCACGGGCUAAAAGUCCACGCGGGAGCUGACGAGAUUAACACAAAAUACUCCAUUGCCCGGUCCUCGUGACAGGGGAGAAUAAAUAAACACUCCACGUCCACGUCAACGUCUUCAGUCCUGGCUCAAACUCCUAACCCAUCUAAUCACACGCUUAAUUGAACUCUGAAGUCUGAAUGAUGGAUGGGGGUAUGACUAUGAGGGAAA
rnacentral:lncRNA from 1 species